GGGACGUGACAGAUAAAAGGAACCACAGAGUGCAGUAGAGCAGAACUUGCGCUGUCUUUCUGAUCAGAGAAGUUGCCAUUUUAGGAGUUUUUAAAAGACUCGUCUGAAUGUAAGCCAACAAAUCAUAUCAACUCUGUGGCUAAUGGCAAGGAGCCUAACAGCGUAAGAGGAGGAGUUUUUUUUAAAAGACCAGUUUGAAUCCAAACCAAUAUAUCUCAACGUCUAAAAGCACGUGACUGAGAACAGAUCAGGGGCUGAAAGAACAUCUUAACAACACAAGACCCUGACUGCGCAGAAGCCACUAUAUUUGUUCCUGAAAGAAGAAAAAUUUAGAUCUUUGUAGUAAAUUUAAUAACUGACGUACAACAAUAAUGUUGAAAUAUUUCAAACGAGAAGAAAAGCUUUCAGAUGCUAUAAAAAAAGAUUGCAAACAAUCAAAAACACAUACAGGGCCUCUCCCUGUUUAUAUAAUUAAACCCAAAAAAAAUGAUUUCAAUGUCGAUGGAUGCAAGAGUUUCACUUUUGGGAAAGAGUCCAGUAAACCUAAUCGCACCAUAAUGGUUCUCGGAGCGACUGGUGCUGGGAAGACAACUCUCAUUAACGGGAUGAUCAAUUACAUUUUAGGUGUUAAAUGGGAGGAUCCAUAUCGAUUUAAGUUAGUUGAUGAGGGUGAGUUAACUUCACAAUCUGAGAGUCAGACCUCUGAAGUCACUGUGUACAAAGUCAAACACCAGCAGGGAUUUGAAAUUGAGUUCUCUCUGACCAUUGUGGACACUCCAGGCUUUGGAGAUACAAGAGGCAUAGAAAAAGACAGAGAGAUCGUAGAGCAGCUACGUAAUCUCUUCUCUGCUCAGGGUGGUGUCAGUGAAAUCGAUGCUGUGUGUUUUGUAGCUCAGGCUGCUUUAGCACGACUCACACCAACACAAAAAUAUGUGUUUGAUUCAGUGCUCUCAAUCUUUGGCAACGAUGUGGCAGAAAACAUCUGGAUUCUGGUGACAUUUGCAGAUGGUCAGCAUCCUCCAGUUCUUG